rnacentral:lncRNA from 1 species
AAAGUAGUAGUCAGUUCGUAGCUCGAAACACCAAGUGCCGAAGAAACACACAACCCAAGCGUAGGUCCAACAUCAUGACCAGGUAAGAAAAUAGAGGAAAAGGCGCAAGCCAAACAA